GCUUGUGAUUACAUCAUGAAGAUCAUCUCCUUCUCCUGAUCUUUCCUUUCCUGAAAAGGAAAAAGAAGUAGGUUUCUCCAAGAGUCGAGUUUGAAUGUUACAUGUGCAAUAUGUAUUUAUUAAGCAUGAUGCCAUAUGGUAUGUGAUAUCCCUGGAAUAAGCCUCGCUGCAUAGAUGGAAGUAGUGAAGCAUGAUCCCGAAACACUGCAAUUGCCCUAAGGGAAAGAAAGGUCAUAUCUGGAACCUCUUCAGAAAACUAGGUGGACCCAGGGGGUGGUCAACCACUGGAACAGGCUUCCUGGAGAGGUGACUGAUGCCCCAAGACUGUCAGUGUUGAAGAGGCAUUCGGAAAAUACCCUUAAGCAGGUGCACCAACACCCUGAUUUUUCUGCACGUGCAUUACGGAACUCCUGGAGCUCAUUCUCUGUGCUAAGGACAACCAGGGACUACUGAUGUGCCCGGUGUGCUGUGCCGACCCUGCUCUAUCCCUCCCAGGUCACAGCUACUCUGAAUGUUGAAACAGAGGAAGCUUUCACUCUGUAAUGAAAUGAAUAUGCUCAAAAUCAUCCACAGAUUUAGAAACCAAUAACUGGACAAGAAUUCCUCCUACAUAAUUUCAGUAGAAAGAUUUUUCUGCCUUCAUGUACAUACCUACUUCUAGGCUUUUUCUUCUCAAUUUCCUCUUGUAUUUAUGUAUCCACCCUGUAUUUUAAUGUCUUCUGUGUCAUUUGAAGAAAGUUGCAAAUAGAUCCUAUAUACAUAAAUAAGAUAUAUACAUUUCAUAUUUAAGAAAUGUUUUAUCUACAGAUGUUAGUCUGCUACUGCUGGUAAUAAUGGUAGCUGUGUUUCCUCCUUUUUUUCCCCCUUUUCUCUUGUCCUACUCCCAUUGACCACUAUCUCUGGUUAGUAUCUAAAAUAGAUUAGAGAAGAACUUAAGUAUGAAUACACCACUAUUAAGCACCUUUUAUAGUAGUUACAGUGGUAUACAUUAAAUAAUUAUCUUGAUUUAAAGAACAUUGGACUGAUUUAAUACUGGUGUAGUUUUCUUCACUCAGGAAAGUAUAAUCUUUUUAUAUAAGGCUAACUUUUUGAAAGUCUGCUUGCAUUUCUCCCAGUCUAAUGCAGUCCUUUGGAAAUGUCUGACUCCUCCAAAGAGAAAUGUGUGUUGGAUAAUUUUUGCUGUCUUCCAUGGUUCCAUCUCCUCUGUAAAACAGGAGUGCUGCUUCUCUAGUAAAACAUUUUGCCAGAAACUUACUUUUCUGUUUUUAACUUGCUAUGGGGCUACUCACUGCCAGAAUUUUGCUGUGGAUUUUUAAAGACUCAGUGUCACUUGUGUUUCUAGUAUCUAAUUAUUAUUUAAUGAGUGAGCAGUAGAGAGAAUGUUUUAGGUGAUUCAGCCUUUGGAAUCCAGUGUUGUUGAUAUGCAUAUGGUGGUGACUUACAUUUUAGAUUAUCCUAAAACUCUUCAGAAAGGCAUAUGGAUAGAUAUAGUAGAUUGGGUAAUGGGAAGGAAUGUCAGGAGUUACAGUGCUCUGGAUAAGCAGAAAACAUUUUUGCCUUUUUCAAAAUAUGCUCAGAGAUGCAUCAGAUCUGUCCAAUCAUCUGGAUGAAAAUUCACAUAAGGAAAGGAAAAAAAGAAAAAACAAUUUAGACUGGGUUGUCAGAUGGAAACUGUUCAUGAUCAGCAUUGGCAGACAGAGAAAUUAGAGUGACAGAAUGUUAUCUGAAUUUUUCAAAACAUCAUUGAAGUGGUUUCUACUUGAAAUUCCAAGAAGCUCUAAGUGGUUCACUUCUAAAACUGACACUUAAGAGUAUGAACUAAUUAAAAUUAAAAUAUACUGAAGUUUUUCCACGUGGCUAAGAGUUUUUUCAAUUCUUCUAUGAAAAUACACAGAUUUCAGAGAUGAGCAAUAAGGUUUGAUAAAACUAAACAUGUUAAAAAAAGAGGUAGCUUUAAUAAAUGGAAAUGUAGCCGGUUAAAAUCUAAAGACUAAGGAUAAAAUCCAAGAGGGAUUUGUUUCCCUUUACCUAGAACUCUAAAGGAUUGUAUGGAGAAAUGCCUUUUCAAAUUGAUUUUUAAAGAUUGAUCAUUCAGUCCUUUAGCUGGCAUUGCAACUGAUUGUAUACUUUAAUAACAUUGCUAUCCUUCCCCAUUUGUGCUGGUUUUAUUCUUAGCUUUAUCUACUGUUUCUUGUCACCCAGUGUACUCAUUGUCUCUUUCCCACAGGCAUUCUAGAUGGAAUAGUAAUCAAAACUAUUAUAUGUUAUCAUAAUCUAUUAUUCUUCUUUUAAAGAAACAGAAUUGGAGUUACCAUUGUUGAAGAGGCAGGGGUUGUCUACUUCUAAAGAUAAUAUCACAAUGUAUAGACUUCAAAAAUUUUAUGUCUGUAAUUAUCUACAAGACUAACCCAGAAAAGUAUGGCUUUGUCUCCCCAUCUCUCUGUUUAGAUGUAUUCUUAUCUGGAAUACCACAGAAAUGCCCUAAAUAAUGAGGGAGACAUGUUCAGUCUGGAUUAUUUUCAUCCCAAAGUAUGCACUUUCUGCCGUUCUCUUUCCAAGUGUGCUCCCAUGUGCAUUUCACUGGUUUUGCAGUGGGAUAUUAUUCAAUAGUGAGACAGGAUAGAGUUAACUAUCAGUUUUAAUUGCAACAGCACAAAUUUGUCACAUGCCUCUCCUGACAAUUCACUGCUCAUAUUUGUUUUCUCCUGCUAUUACUAAAUGGCAAAUGCAAAAUGAUAUAACAAAGAUUAGAAUCACAGGCGCCAUAUGCUUAAUUGUUCAUUUUUUAUGACAUGAACAAGUAAAAAGGGCAUAUUAAUCUUUUAAAAAGUUCACAUAUUCUGAAUGAAUACAAAAUUCUAUGCUACCUAGAUCUCAAACUGAGACAGCAGGCUUUCAAGCUCCAUCUUUAAAAGGAAACAAAUAGAGGACACUGAGUACCCUAAAAUUAUUAACUGUUGUUAACUGUUACUCCAGAUGUAAUUUCAGGUAUAUUUUAUUCUCAAACACAAAUCCAUAUAGCACAUACUUGCAUUAUGUAUGAUCCCAGGGAAUAAAGAUAACAUUUGGUGUAUUUGGCAAGAUUUUAAAUCAUGAAGAAGAAAAACCCAUCAAAAUUAGUAUUGUUGGAUGAAAUAUAAUAGUGGAAUAAAUUGAUGCCAUUGAUGUCAAGUCAGGAAAACAUCC